AUGCUCCCGGAUUAUCCGAACAUAGUUUCAUGGCGGCGCACGCCGACAGCAGAGUUCUCAGUGGGCACGGCUUACCAGGCCCUUUGUCCGCCGACAACUCACCCCUGGCUUGUCCCUCUAUGGAAAGCCCCCGUCCCAUUAAAGAUUAAGAUUUUUGUUUGGCAACUUCUACGAGAUCGUCUCCCCUCGGGGACAGAGGUACUUAAGUGGCAUGGACCUGGGGAUGGUAUUUGCCCCCUCUGUGCAGUACCGGAGACUGGGACGCAUAUUCUCUUCUCUUGUAUGGCAGCGAGGGUAUUAUGGACUUUUGUCCGCGAGGCGUUGGGGCCUGACUGGGAGGCCCUAAAUCUCGCCGAGUUCCUGCAGCUUCGAGCUAUACAGCCUGCACGACAUCGCCUCCUAUUUUGGCUUAUUUUUGUGGCAAUGUCGUGGACUCUUUGGACGACUAGGAAUAAGAUGGUGAUUGAGAAGGUUUUCCCGAAGAAGGCUUCUGACUCCUUCUUCAAAUUCCUUGCUUUCUUGCAGCACUGGCACCCGCUCUCGAGGCAGCGUGAUCGUGAUCGCCUUGGCUUGAUGAUGGUUGCGCUUUUGGCCUCGGCGCGUCGGCUAUUGUCCUCGUAG
rnacentral:rRNA from 1 species